rnacentral:rRNA from 1 species
UACGGGGGGGGUAAGCGUUGUUCGGAAUUACUGGGCGUAAAGGGCUCGUAGGCGGCCAACUAAGUCAGACGUGAAAUCCCUCAGCUUAACUGGGGAACUGCGUCUGAUACUGGAUGGCUUGGAUUCGGGAGAGGAAUGCGGAAUUCCAGGUGUAGCGGUGAAAUGCGUAGAUAUCUGGAGGAACACCGGUGGCGAAGGCGGCAUUCUGGACCGACAUUGACGCUGAGGAGCGAAAGCCGGGGGAGCAAACGGG